GACGAACGCUGGCGGCGUGCUUAACACAUGCAAGUCGAACGGAAAGGCCCUGCUUUUGUGGGGUGCUCGAGUGGCGAACGGGUGAGUAACACGUGAGUAACCUGCCCCUGACUUUGGGAUAACUUCAGGAAACUGGGGCUAAUACCGGAUAGGAGCUCCUGCUGCAUGGUGGGGGUUGGAAAGUUUCGGCGGUUGGGGAUGGACUCGCGGCUUAUCAGCUUGUUGGUGGGGUAGUGGCUUACCAAGGCUUUGACGGGUAGCCGGCCUGAGAGGGUGACCGGCCACAUUGGGACUGAGAUACGGCCCAGACUCCUACGGGAGGCAGCAGUGGGGAAUAUUGCACAAUGAGCGGAAGCCUGAUGCAGCAACGCCGCGUGCGGGAUGACGGCCUUCGGGUUGUAAACCGCUUUCGCCUGUGACGAAGCGUGAGUGACGGUAAUGGGUAAAGAAGCACCGGCUAACUACGUG
rnacentral:rRNA from 1 species